GGAGUGGGCCGGGUGGUCGCCGGUGCACGGCAGACCGUUGUGCACGGGAGGAAAGUCCGAGCUCCACAGGGAAGGGUGCUGGCUAACGGCCAGGCGCGGCGACGCGACGGAAAGUGCCACAGAAAACAGACAGCCAUCGCGCGCCCUCGGGCGCGCGGCGGUGAUGGUGAAAAGGUGCGGUAAGAGCGCACCGCGGCCCGUGGUGACAUGGGCCGGCACGGAAAACCCCACCCGGAGCAAUGCCGAAUAGGAGCCCCCGGCACGCGAGUGCCACCGGCAACCCGCCGGAGUGGGGCUCGGGUUGGCAGCUCGAGCGCGCGAGUAAUCGCGCGCCUAGAUGAAUGACCACCGCCGGGCGCAAGCCCGGUACAGGACUCGGCUUAUAGGCCCACUCCGGGG
rnacentral:RNase_P_RNA from 1 species